ACAAGACAACAAGACGUCAUUUCCCUCCGCAAACUGAUAUCUCCCUCCAUCUCCACCGCUAACGCAAACAUGGUAACAACUUAGUCGAACUUCCUUCUUCACUAGAGCUUCUGCUCAAAUCCUCUCAUGGCUGAUAUGCUACACACCAACCUCCCCAUUUUCUCUCAUUUUUCUCUCCCACUAAAUCUCUUUCCUCAUACGAAUUCCUCCUUCAUCCGCUUCGCUCCUCUUCGGCGCAGAUUUUCUCUCUCCUCAGCAGUCGCAAAACUCUCUUCUGAUUCUUCGCAAUUCAAUAUAAUUUCUAGAACUGAGCUCGCUGAUGGUAGCGUCAGUUUCAAAUUCGGUGACGCGGGUGAGAUUUCUGAAACUUUAAAUAAAUUUGAUGCUGGAAAUGAUGUAGAAUUGGAGAGAGAAAGUGAUGAAAAUUUAGGUCGUGAAGCUGAUGAUGUUACUGAUGAUGUUACUGAUGAUGAGAGUGAUCACAGUAAGGCGGAAAAUUUUGUCAGCUAUAGCGCUGAAUUGAAGGAAGAUACGGAUUCUGUUGUAGAUUUACAAUCUGAUGUUCAAAUUUGUGAAAAUUCUGUUGAAGAUGAACAUAAUAGUUAUUUAAUUUCAACGGCCGGAGUGGAGGAUUUGAGUAAUUUUGAUGAGACACAGCGUAAAAAUCGGGUAGGGAAUGGGGCUGUUGCGAUUGGUGAUUCAAGUGAUGGUGUGAUGAUUGAGAAGGCCGGUGAACUGAGGAAAGCUUCUGAGGAGUUGAGUGAUGAGGACGAUGAGCUUAAACAUGGUGGUGAUGAGUCGUCUAAUAUUGGUGUUAGCGUGGUCGUGUCUUUGGAGGAUGAGGUUGUGAAAGAAGAGAUAGGGAGGGAUGAAAUUGUGGAGGAUGAGGUACUGUUUUCUGAGGGUGAGAUUGUGAAAGAAGAGAUAAGAGUGAGGGAUGAAAUUAUGGAGGAUGAGAUUGUGACCGAUAACAUUGUGGAAAAUGAGACUGAGGAGGAUAAAGUGGUGUCCUUGGAUGAUGAGGUUGUGGAGGAUGAGACUGUGAAGGACCAGAUUGUGGCGGGUGAGAUUCUGAAGGGCGAGAUCGUGGAGGACUUGAAGGAUGAUAUUGGAAAGGAUAAGGACCAAAAGGUAGUGUCUUCGGUUUAUGAGAUGGUGAAGGAUCGCGUUGUGAAGGAUGAGAUCACAGAUGAAGACAUUGUGGAGGAUGAGUUUGUGAACGAUAAGAUCGUGGAGGAUGAGAUUGUGGAGGACGGGAUAAUGGAGGAUGAGAUUGUGAAGGACGAGAAGGUCAUGGAGGAUGAGGUUGUGAAGGACGAGAAGGUCAUGGAGGAUGAGAUUGUGAAGGACGAGAAGGUCAUGGAGGAUGAGAUUGUGAAGGACGAGAAGGUCAUGGAGGAUGAGGUUGUGAAGGACGAGAAGGUCAUGGAGGAUGAAAUUGUGAAGGACGAGGAGAUCAUGGAUGAUCAGGAGAUUGUGGAGGAUGAGAUUGUGGAGGAUAAGGACCAAAAGGUAGUGUCUUUGGAUUUUGAGAUUAUGGAGGAUGAGAUUGUGGGUGAAGAGAUUGUGGAGGAUGAGACUGUAAAGGAUGCAAUUGUGAAGGGUGAGAUUGAGGACAAUAUGGAAGUGUCAUUGAAGGAUGUGACUGAGCACAAUAUGGUUAUUUCAUUGGAGGAUGUGACUGAGAAGGCUAGUGUCUUUGCAGAAAGUCAUCCAAUGUCAGUGUAUGAAGAUGACGAUUCACUAGAAUUGUUGUCUAAAAAGCUAGAAGCGGAACCAAUUCUUGAUGAGGAAACGAGUUUUGUUUCGCUUGAUGAUGAUGUUGUGUUGGGAUCAUCUUUAGACUCCAAUAAGGCUCCUAGCAUUUCACAGCCUUAUGAUGAUCAACUUUGUAAUGAUAGCUCAAACACAUCUGGUCCCGAUCCCGAAACAUCAGGGAUAGCUUCAGCUGAAGUUAGUAUCAACAGCAAACAGAUUUCAACAGUUGCAAAUUCCAUGACAGCAGUUGCUGCAUCUCCACCAGAUACCUCAGAGGUUCAUGGUGUCACGACUCAAACUAUUGCACAACCUGAUAAUGAUAUUACUGAUACUUCGGUAGCAGCUGGUCCUGUUACGUCAGAGAUAGCUUCACAAGAAACGGAUCUUGUUAGUCUGAACGAAGUGGAAACCUCGUCUCCUGCUUUUACUAUUUCGUCAGCUGUUGCGUCACUGGCUCAUUCUUCUGAGGCUUUGACAGGUGCAAAGGAUGCCCAUUUUGUUUCCAACAACUGGUUUGGUGUGGCAGAUGGCGUUGGUCAAUGGUCACUUGGAGGAGUGGCCAUGGGAAUGUAUGCUCAUGAAUUCAUGCUUAACUGUGAAAGGCUAAUAAAGAACAGUGCUGGAUUAACCAAUGUUAAAGAGCUUCUCCAGCAAAGUGCUGCAAUGGCACAAUCAACUGGUUCGGCUAGAGUUUUAAUUGCUCAUGUCGCUAAUGAGGUCCUCCAUGUGGCAAAUAUUGGGGACUCGGGAUUUGUUUUAAUCCGGAAUGGAACCGUCUUCCAAAAAUCUUCUCCGAUGGUUCACGAAUUCAGUUUUCCUUAUGCCAUUGGCUUGGGUGAUGAUUUAGUUGAAGAUGCGGAGGAAUACCACAUUGAUUUAGAAGAUGGGGAUGUGAUCGUAACAGCAACUGAUGGCCUUUUUGAUAAUCUAUAUGAACAGGAAAUCGCUUCCAUGGUUUCCAGAGCUGUGGAAGUUGGGAUGUCUUUACAGAACCUAGCAGAACUCUUAGCUUCCAAAGCAGAAGAAGUGGGGAGGUCAGACACUGCAAGAAGUCCCUUUGCAGAUGCCGUACAGGCAGCUGGACAUUCUGGAUACAGUGGUGGCAAGCUUGAUCAUGUGACUGUAAUAGUGUCUCUUUUGCAAAGACGAUGAGGAGAGAAAAUGAAGGGAUGAAUGGUUGAAGGGUUGAAAAACAAGGUGGUGGAAUAAGAGGGAGGCUACAUCGCUGGUGGACAGCGGCACAAUUACCCCAUACCCGGGGUAAAAUGGGCCAAUUUGUAAUAUCAUCGCCAGUAAUGUGCUAGAAUUUUGAUAAAAAAUAGCAUGCAUACCGUCCGGUCCGGGGCCUUGCAAGGAUGCAUUUGCAGAUAGCCAAGUGGACUUUCGCUUUAGAGAAUGGCUUUUGAAGGGCAACAUUGUCCUCCCCAGAAAUGACUGGUCGAACGACUUCGAGCACUCUGUCACAAGCACUUGGGUUAGGCUCAUUGGAGGCAAAUAGCUGCGAGUAGAAGCUCUAUACAAUCUCUUCGACUUUCUCCUCAUCCGACUGCCAUACACAAUUACCAUCAAACAAUACUUUAAUCUCAUUCUUGUAUCUCCGUUGAGAAGCUUUAUGUUGGAAGUAUUUAGUAUUUCGGUCCCCAUCCUUAACUUCAGCCGAUCGGGAUCGAAGAUACCAAUACGUUUCUCGCGAGCUCCUCAAGAACCUUCUCAAGCCUCGUGCACUCGUCAAUUGAGAAUCAGAAACAUAAAGUUCUUGAGCUUUUUUCAAUUGUUUAUCAGCAUCCAUAAUUUUCUUAGACAAGUCGUCAAACUUGCCCUUACCCCACCCAGAAAGUGUUGUUGCCAUCAUACAAAAACGCUCCUCAAUCGAGCCACCAAUAGAAGCCAUCUAGGCCUCUCUUACUACUCCUUCGCAGGCUUCAUCAAGCAGCCAGCCCAUUUCGAAUUUAAGUCCUUCUUUGUUUUUCUCCUCUUCUUCCUUCUGUUGUGAUAGUCUUCAAACCCCAAAAGACUUGGGGUAUGGUCUGAUUUGAAGUGGACUAAGUGUUUAAGCACUGCACCUAGGAAGCAAGCACACCAAUUGUGGCUGCCUACAAAACGGUUAAGGCGCUCGCGGACGCACGUUUGAGCAGUGAGACCAUGCCCCCAAGUAUACACUCCCUCCUUUUCAUCAUAGCUUAGGAUCUCAUUAAAGUCGCCCCCUAUCAAGAUAGGGAUACUCAUAUUUGCACAUAGAUCACGAACAAGGGCCCAAGUCUUGGCUUCGCUAGACGAGUCAAGACAUCCAUAAAUGGCCAUGAAAAACCAUUUGCCAACUUUAUGCUCAAUAUAACCUGCAAUUGAUUAUUAGAAAAUCAACUUUUCCCCUCUCUAAUACAGACAUAAUCCCCCUGCUCUUCCAACACUGCUCACCUCUAGAGAAUUAGAGAAUCCCAGUUGAGACUUCAUAUUCUCCGUGAUUGAUUUGUUCACCUUAGUUUCCGACAAAAACACUAUGUCGGGGGCAUUCAAAUUGAUCCAAAAAAUCCCACAGCUCCUUCUUAGGCGAGCGAUACACCAUCUCCUUAAGAGCGUAAAUUGACAGAGGAUUGCCCAUACCUCAGCAGUUCCAACAUAGAGUACUCAUUCUGAGGGGCAGGGUUGGU